rnacentral:rRNA from 1 species
GUCUUUGAACGCAAGUUGCGCUCGAGGCCAUCAGGCUAAGGGCACGCCUGCCUGGGCGUCGUGUGUUGCGUCUCUCCUACCAAUGCUUGCUUGGCAUAUCGCUAAGCUGGCAUUAUACGGAUGUGAAUGAUUGGCCCCUUGUGCCUAGGUGCGGUGGGUCUAAGGAUUGU